rnacentral:lncRNA from 1 species
GAGUCCGAAGAUUGCGGCUUGGAGACAGUGACUGGCCCACGUUCACAGCCAGCGUCCCCGUCGGAAUUCAGGAGCCAUGGCAACGGGGACUCUACGGCGGCCGCGCGGGACCAAAACAAGCCGCGUUUCCUGAGCUCCGCGGAGCAAGCAGAGGAGACCGCAGUGAAGGGGCUCAGCAGACAGGGGUUCCCCAACCCAAACCCAGUCUUCGUCCUCGUCGCACUUCCGACUUGCCACAGACUGCUUCCCUC